rnacentral:rRNA from 1 species
CAUAAGAGGUCUAGCCUGCCCAGUGACUCAUUCAACGGCCGCGGUAUCCUAACCGUGCGAAGGUAGCGUAAUCACUUGUUCUUUAAAUAAGGACUAGUAUGAAUGGCAUCACGAGGGUUAUACUGUCUCCCUUUUUUAAUCAGUGAAACUAAUCUUCCCGUGAAGAAGCGGGAAUAAAAUUAUAAGACGAGAAGACCCUAUGGAGCUUUAAACUAAGCAACAAUUGUUCUAAAUUUACCCUUCUCCAGAGUUAAAAUUAUAUCUUAACAUUAUGAUUGCUAGUUUUUGGUUGGGGUGACCGCGGAGCAUAAAACAACCUCCACAAUGAAAGAAACUUAAUUUCUUAACCCAGAACUACAACUCUAAGUAUCAAAAAUUUGACAUACAUUGAUCCAAUAUAUUGAUCAACGAACCAAGUUACCCUAGGGAUAACAGCGCAAUCCACUUCAAGAGCCCAUAUCGACAAGUGGGUUUACGACCUCGAUGUUGGAUCAGGGUAUCCCAGUGGUGCAGCCGCUACUAAAGGUUCGUUUGUUCAACGAUUAAAACCCU